CACGUAGGGGGCGAGCGUUGUUCGGAAUCAUUGGGCGUAAAGGGCGAGCAGGCGGUCCUGCAAGUCCGGCGUGAAAGACCCCGGCCCAACCGGGGGGACGCGCUGGAAACUGCGGGGCUUGAGUACAGGAGGGGAUGCCGGAAUUCCAGGUGUAGGGGUGAAAUCUGUAGAUAUCUGGAAGAACACCAAUGGCGAAGGCAGGCAUCUGGCCAUGUACUGACGCUGAGACGCGAAGGUGCGGGGAGCAAACAGG
rnacentral:rRNA from 1 species